UGCGUAGGUGGUUUCUUAAGUCAGAGGUGAAAGGCUACGGCUCAACCGUAGUAAGCCUUUGAAACUGGGAAACUUGAGUGCAGGAGAGGAGAGUGGAAUUCCUAGUGUAGCGGUGAAAUGCGUAGAUAUUAGGAGGAACACCAGUUGCGAAGGCGGCUCUCUGGACUGUAAUUGACACUGAGGCACGAAAGCGUGGGGAGCAAACAG
rnacentral:rRNA from 1 species